UACAGAGGUCUCGAGCGUUAGGCGGAAUCACUGGGCUUAAAGCGUGUGUAGGCGGAUUGCUAAGUACCUUGUGAAACUCCCGACGGCUUAACCGUGGAACUGCUUGGUAUACUGGCUGUCUUGAGCCACUUAGGGGCAACCGGAACAAACGGUGGAGCGGUGAAAUGCGUAGAUAUCGUUUGGAACGCCAAUGGUGAAAACAGGUUGCUGGGAGUGUGCUGACGCUGAGACACGAAAGCCAGGGGAGCAAACGGG
rnacentral:rRNA from 1 species